CAAAGGUGCAUUGCAAGAAUAAGUGAUCUCUAGUUUCCAUAGCUUGCUGGCACAUAACACAGUUGCCUGAUACAUUCAGAUUCCAUUGCAGCAGCCUAUUCUUGGUAGGGAGUCUAUCUUGCAGUAACAGCCACAAACUGAAGAUUGCUUUAGGUCGAGCAGCAUUCUGUAUUACCAAAUUCUUCCAAGGGACUCUAGGUGUCUCUCCAAUCUGUUGUAAGUAUAGUUUCCUUAUGGUGCAGUCAGAUUUAUACAGCAGUUGAUGUUGUUGUAACAGCUUAAUACCCUCCACCAUCUUCCUGACCAUCCAGCUAGCAUGUGUUGGGACAGUAAGGUUCUCCAAAUGUUGUUGUUUGAUAUAGACUGUAUGAAUCCAUUUCACCCACAAAAGAUCUUU
rnacentral:lncRNA from 1 species